GACGAAGGGGGCUAGCGUUGUUCGGAAUUACUGGGCGUAAAGCGCACGUAGGCGGCUUUGUAAGUUAGAGGUGAAAGCCCAGGGCUUAACCCUGGAAUUGCCUUUAAGACUGCAUCGCUAGAAUUGUGGAGAGGUAAGUGGAAUUCCGAGUGUAGAGGUGAAAUUCGUAGAUAUUCGGAAGAACACCAGUGGCGAAGGCGACUUACUGGACACAUAUUCGACGCUGAGGUGCGAAAGCGUGGGGAGCAAACAGG
rnacentral:rRNA from 1 species